rnacentral:rRNA from 1 species
UACGUAGGGGGCAAGCGUUGUCCGGAUUUAUUGGGCGUAAAGGGCGCGUAGGCGGCUUGGCAAGUGGAUGGUGAAAUCCCUCGGCUUAACCGAGGAACUGCCGUCCAAACUGCUUCGCUUGAGACCGGGAGAGGUGAGUGGAAUUCCCAGUGUAGCGGUGAAAUGCGUAGAUAUUGGGAGGAACACCAGUGGCGAAGGCGGCUCACUGGACCGGUACUGACGCUGAUGCGCGAAAGCGUGGGGAGCAAACAGGG